rnacentral:lncRNA from 1 species
GACCGUGUUCGUGUGGCUGUCCAGCACUCACGGAGCUCCGAAGUGACCACGAUUUCAUGCGUCUUCCAGCGUGACCCCGGGGGAGGGGCUGGCCCCGUGGUGCUCCCAGGAUGGGCUCGGAGCCGGCUAUUUAUAUCCAAAUCAAUUCCGAGUUGGCGCCAGGACUCGGCCUAAUCGAAUCUGUCGUCCUUCACGGCCAAGGACGAGACACCUGACCCCGUCCUUGGGCGGAGGCCAGGCCUCCCGGGUCGGGGGGGCAGCCCCGUCCCGCUGUGGUGGGCGAGCUGGGAGGCAGGCAGCCGGGCGAGGGUGCAGCCCGAAGCGGGCUCGGCGUGAAUCUCAGCAUUUCUGGGCACAAAACCACACUCCCCUUGGAUCCGCCUCUGUCACGUGCCCGUGCACGCGCCCCCUGCACUGUCGGCACUCUGGGAGCGAGCAGCAGGGCCACAGCCCACAGCCUGGGGUCCCCUGCCCAGUGCUUUGUAGAAAGAGGGGUGCUGGCACGUGGGGAGGGGCGGAGCUCUGCUGCCUGUGCAGGCUGAGUGGGGGGCUGCUCUGUUGGGAGGGACCCCGUUUGUCUGUUCAGAGGCUCCUGGGGACAUUGGCUCUCGGGGUGGGGGACACUGGUUUCCAGGGCCUGGAAGCCCCCGGCGGCUCCGUCUGCAGCAGCCCCCAGGCUCGCGGCUCCCAGUCCUCGGGACCGCACUGCUGUCUGGGAGGUGGGGGUGUGCUCAGGGGCACAGCGGCGCCCAGGGACCCCGUGCACCUGCAGGGGGCACCAGCGCGGUUGGGGGACCCGAUACCCCAUUCCAGCCUCGGCUCCAACCUCUCCCCUUGCUUCUGUUUCUUGCACACGCAGCAGCAGUGGCCUGGGGGAAGCGGGAGGCAGCAGAGCCGGGGGCCGCAGCGGGCGGUCGUGAGCGGCCGUCCAUCAGCUUCCUGCGAGUGUCGCACGUGGGGGAAGUGGACGCUUCUUCCAGGACGCCCACGCCCCAGCGUCUCCCGGGGCCGAGCUCUGGCCACUCUACAGGGAGCCUGCCACCCAGAAACCUUACGGGCCUCACAGCCAGGCCACUGCGCCCACGCUCCGCUUUCUGCUCUCUAAGGGGGCUGGACCCGGAGCCCAUGUCGCCCUCUGAUGAGGCUGUGGUGCCAGGGGUCCCUGCCGGUGCCAGGCCAUGUCCAUGAGAAACGCCAGCGAUGCGUUUCACUCCCUUCGUGACUGUGAGAAGCAGACACUGUUGCGUCCAUUGCGCAGGUGACAAAGAAGAGGCACUGCUGGC